GUCUACGGCCAUACCACGUUGAAAGCACCGGUUCUCGUCCGAUCACCGAAGUUAAGCAACGUCGGCCCCGUUAGUACUUGGAUGGGUGACCGCUUGGGAACACCGGGUGUGUAGACA
rnacentral:rRNA from 1 species